UUAGUGGCGGACGGGUGAGUAACGCGUGGAAAACCUGCCGUAUACUGGGGGAUAACACUUAGAAAUAGGUGCUAAUACCGCAUAAGCGCACAGCUUCGCAUGAAGCGGUGUGAAAAACUCUGGUGGUAUACGAUGGUUCCGCGUCUGAUUAGCUAGUUGGUGGGGUAAUGGCCUACCAAGGCAACGAUCAGUAGCCGGCCUGAGAGGGUGAACGGCCACAUUGGGACUGAGACACGGCCCGAACUCCUACGGAAGGCAGCAG
rnacentral:rRNA from 1 species